rnacentral:rRNA from 1 species
UCCUGGCUCAGAGCGAACGUUAGCGGCGGGCCUAACACAUGCAAGUCGAACGCGAAAGGUCUUCGGACUGAGUAGAGUGGCGCACGGGUGAGUAACACGUAGGUAAUCUACCCUUUGGCGGGGGAUAACGUUCCGAAAGGAGCGCUAAUACCGCAUAAGACCACGGAGUCUCCGGACGCUGUGGGAAAGGGUGGCCUCUUCUUGAAAGCUACCACCGAAGGAUGAGCCUGCGUCCCAUCAGCUAGUUGGUAAGGUAAUGGCUUACCAAGGCGAAGACGGGUAGCUGGUUUGAGAGAAUGAUCAGCCACACUGGCACUGGAACACGGGCCAGACUCCUACGGGAGGCAGCAGUGAGGAAUAUUGGGCAAUGGGCGAAAGCCUGACCCAGCCACGCCGCGUGAGUGAUGAAGGCCCUCGGGUCGUAAAGCUCUGUGGAGAGGGACGAAAACCCUGGUUUCAAAUAGGCUCCAGGCUUGACGGUACCUCUUUAGCAAGCACCGGCUAACUCUGUG